UACGGGGGGGCGGAAGCGUUGUUCGGAGUUACUGGGCGUAAAGGGUGCGUAGGCGGCUUUUUAAGUUUGGUGUGAAAUCUCCCGGCUCAACUGGGAGGGUGCGCCGAAUACUGAGAGGCUAGAGUGUGGGAGAGGAAAGUGGAAUUCCUGGUGUAGCGGUGAAAUGCGUAGAUAUCAGGAGGAACACCGGUGGUGUAAACGGCUUUCUGGACCAUAACUGACGCUGAGGCACGAAAGCGUGGGUAGCAAACAGG
rnacentral:rRNA from 1 species